rnacentral:rRNA from 1 species
AACGCUGGCGGCAUGCUUUACACAUGCAAGUCGAACGGCAGCGCGGGGCAACCUGGCGGCGAGUGGCGAACGGGUGAGUAAUAUAUCGGAACGUACCCAGAAGUGGGGGAUAACGUAGCGAAAGUUACGCUAAUACCGCAUACGAUCUACGGAUGAAAGUGGGGGAUCGCAAGACCUCAUGCUUUUGGAGCGGCCGAUAUCUGAUUAGCUAGUUGGUGAGGUAAAGGCUCACCAAGGCGACGAUCAGUAGCUGGUCUGAGAGGACGACCAGCCACACUGGGACUGAGACACGGCCCAGACUCCUACGGGAGGCAGCAGUGGGGAAUUUUGGACAAUGGGCGCAAGCCUGAUCCAGCAAUGCCGCGUGAGUGAAGAAGGCCUUCGGGUUGUAAAGCUCUUUUGUCAGGGAAGAAACGGCCGAGGCUAAUACCUUUGGCUAAUGACGGUACCUGAAGAAUAAGCACCGGCUAACUACGUGCCAGCAGCCGCGGUAAUACGUAGGGUGCAAGCGUUAAUCGGAAUUACUGGGCGUAAAGCGUGCGCAGGCGGUUUUGUAAGUCUGACGUGAAAUCCCCGGGCUUAACCUGGGAAUUGCGUUGGAGACUGCAAGGCUGGAGUCUGGCAGAGGGGGGUAGAAUUCC